CCUACGGGAGGCAGCAGUGGGGAAUAUUGGACAAUGGGGGGAACCCUGAUCCAGCGACGCCGCGUGAGUGAAGAAGUAUUUCGGUAUGUAAAGCUCUGUCAGCAGGGAAGAAAGAAAUGACGGUACCUGACCAAGAAGCCUCGGCUAACUACGUGCCAGCAGCCGCGGGAAUACGUAGGGGGCAAGCGUUAUCCGGAAUUACUGGGUGUAAAGGGAGCGUAGACGGGUAAGUAAGUCUGGAGUGAAAGGCCGGGGCCCAACCCCGGGACUGGCGUGGAAACUAUUGAACUUGAGUGCAGGAGAGGUAAGCGGAAUGCGUAGUGUAGCGGUGAAAUGCGUAGAUAUUAGGAGGAACACCAGUGGCGAAGGCGGCUUACUGGACUGUAACUGACGUUGAGGCUCGAAAGCGUGGGGAGCAAACAGGAUUAGAUACCCCUGUAGUC
rnacentral:rRNA from 1 species